CUCGUAGGCGGUUCGUCGCGUCCGGUGUGAAAGUCCAUCGCUUAACGGUGGAUCCGCGCCGGGUACGGGCGGGCUUGAGUGCGGUAGGGGAGACUGGAAUUCCCGGUGUAACGGUGGAAUGUGUAGAUAUCGGGAAGAACACCAAUGACGAAGGCAGGUCUCUGGGCCGUCACUGACGCUGAGGAGCGAAAGCGUGGGGAGCGAACA
rnacentral:rRNA from 1 species